rnacentral:tRNA from 1 species
GCCUGGGUGGCUCAGUGGGUUAAGCAUCUGACUUCGGCUCAGGUCAUGAUCUCGCGGUCCGUGAGUUUGAGCCCCACGUCAGGCU